GGCUCCCCUCUUCUUCUCAGGCUGUUUGCCUUUUGCAGGGGUACUCAGCCAGCUCCCCUUUGCCCUCUGGAGGUCGUUUCUGACAUCUCAAGCCCCUGAUCCAAUCUGCUCGGGAGACACUGUGCUCUGCCAUUUGCCUGCCUUCUUCCUUCUGGUAUCCCCACACUCCAGGUGUGGACCACUAGGAGGCCCAGUUGGUGGAGGACGCCCCGGGGCCAGGAAUGUCAGCGGCCUGGGCAAAGAUGGGGAAAGCGGGAGGAACUGUUGCUGGGGAGCCACGGAGACUGGAGAGACUCUGAGAACUGUGUGGAAUCCUUGGGGCAGUGUGGUUCCACUUCCUCCGAACUGGUCUCUGGAGCUGGGAGGAGACUUGGGCUGUUUCCAGACAGGAGACAGGCGCUUUUUCUCUCAGAUGCUGCUGGGCCCUCUCUCCUACGAGCGGUUCCCCAGCUCACAGGCCUCAGAAGGGAAGCUGCACUCACAAGCCUCCACCCAGGCCUUGGUCCUGCCUGACAGUUUAUCCUGUCAAGUAAAACCUGCUGUGAGGAAUAAAGAAGCUCGUGACAACUCAACCCUUCCCAGGGAUGUUUGUGUUCAUCUAGGGACCAGAGUUUUAAUUUUGGAAUCUGAAGAGGAGAGUCCUUUCCAGGAUUAAACUGUCCUGACGUCUGUUUUCUUUCAUCGGACUCAGAGGGUCACUUCUGCCCGCACCUGGGAGGAAUAAUUGAUCAGAGUAGAGGGCAGAUGAUAAGGUGUGAGUUGGUAACAGGUCUUGGAAUCAAAGAAUCUCAGAGUUGGAAGGGAGCUUAAAAUAUCUGGCACAAUCCCCCAUUGUACAGAUGGAAAAAGUGAGGAUCAAGUAGCAGAAGGGACAGUAGCUAGACUCGGCAGUAAAUGAGGCUUUCCCUAACUCUUCAUGGUAUACAGAGAACGAGGAGGGCACACAACUUCCACAAGCUCGUUUCCAUCAGCAUCAAGUCCUCCUCUUCCUGACUCCCUGCCUCGCUCCCUGUGUUCCAAAUGGACCGGUAGUUAUCAAACUUGAAUACGAGUAGCAAUAGUUAGGUGACGCUGGAUGUAGAAAACUGCAGCUCUAUUACUCUCCUGGGUUGUACAGGACUGGAACCCAGGGAUCUGCAUUUGAUGAUGAUUCCGAGAACUACACGUUUCCUGAGAACUACACAUUUGGGGAACACGAGCAGGGCCAUGGGGGUGGUCCAGGUUGAGAAGGAGGAUGGACAUAAUGGCCCCCAAGAGGUUCUGCCAGCUGAGCCAUCAGUGAUUCAAGUUUGGAGUUAGGGUGGGGAGUGACCUUUGUUUCUCGCCUCCAGGGGUUGCUCAUUGGAAGGGUAACCUCCUUCCUUCUCACCUUCUGUCUUCCUCAGUCAUCAUAAAGGCAGAGCCUGGGGGAGGGGAGGUGUUCUUUAGGGGGAUUAAAGACUCUUCCUUGAGAGGAAACAAAUUCCUUACUAAUUAUGCAAUUAUUUUAUUAUGCAGCCUUAAUGAAAAAAAAAAUGCACACACGACUCAAAGCCUAAAAAGAAGGCUGUAGCCAGGACUUAUCCAAUUUAAUAAAUCCUCUCCAUCCUGUAAUUAUUUCCUGGAUUCUUCUUAAUACAAGUCUGCAGGAGGGUCAGGGACAGUCUCUGCUUGCGGGGGUCUUCCCCCUCCCGUCCCUGUCUCACCCCCACCAGCUGCCGUCUCCAAGUGGGUACCAGGGCAUAUACACCAGUGUUCUAAACUCCCUCACCCUCCUCCUUCUUUCUGUCAUAUUCCCAGGGAAAGAAUAUGACAGGGAGAGUCAGUGGACAGAGGAGAGGAGAAGGAGAGGCUUUAGAUUUAAGGACAGGCUCCUUUAGCUGAGUUUUGGUCUUAGGACUCCCCCACCCCCACCCCAGCAACCCAUCUUCCACCUGCCCUGCCCUGAAUUAUAUUCCGUUUCCUCUGCCUUCCUCUCAAGCAGCCAUGCUGUAGCAAAAACUAAUUGAGGCACCCCAUUAUGUUAGCCCUUAUCCAGCCCCUGUUCUCGCCACCCGGUUAACCUACAGAUGUUUGUUUUCCCUCUCUUUCUGGCUUAAUUGUACUCUGAAAAUGAUUGCCCUCUAGCUACACCUGACACUUACCCUUUCAAGACAACACUCUCUAACACUCCUUUCCUCUGGGAACAUUCUUUGUUCCAGAAAGAAUGUUAUGGGACGAUGACCUUGAGGAACCUGUCCUGGAAUCACCUGAUGCCAGCCCUAAUGAUCUCAAUGCCCCCAGGAGGAGAAAAAUGCAAGACUGCAUCAACCCUGAUCCUUACCUUCAGCCCCAUUUUCCAUCCUAAAACUGUAAGACCUCUUCCAGCUUCCCAGGAAGGGAGGUACAGUCUUGAAAGCAUUAACUUGCUGUGGUCCCCCUUUCGCCUGACAAAGUAAUAAAGCUACUCCUUUCUACUCCCCUAAAACUCUGUAUUUAUAUUCUGCAUUGGUGAACAGAGGCUGUGUUUUUUUUUUUUUGGCAACAGUCAUCAUAGCCCCAUUCCCCAAACAUGAAUGUGAUAAUCCUUCAAAGUCACAGAUUUUGAAUCAGACAGGUCUGGUGGGCUCAAAGUUUGGCUGAGCUAAACCCUGACUUAUACUUGACCUCUCUGAGUCUCCAUUUCUUUAUUUGUAAAGUGGAGGAUGACAGAGGACAAAAUGGUUGGAUGGCAUCUCUGGCUCAAUGGACAUGACUUUGAGCAAACUUUAAGAGAUAGUGAAGGACGGGGAAGCCUGGCACGCUGCAGUCCAUGGGGUCGCAAAGAGUUGGACACGACCAAGUGACUGAACAACAGAAGCGGAGAUACUAAUAUAUUGUGAAAUCGAAGCAAGUCAUGGACCUCAAGGGUGUAGCACAAUGCUUGACACCAGCGAGAGUUUCCUUCCCCACCCCUGCCCCCUCCUCACCUCCUUGAAACCUUACCUUGAACAUCUGCUGGUGGUAUUCAUAAUGGUGGGGGAGACACUGGGGCAGCAGAGACCUUCUUGGCUCUCCUGAAUUUUCCUCCCUUACCUUGUCCCCCUUCCCAUAGUCUUGUGAUGAUGCUGUUCCAUGGAGGGCUUGGACUCUGGGCAUGGAGUCGGGUGGGCUGAGGUUUGGAAAUCAAGAAGUACCUGGAGAAUCUUGUUGCUCUUUCCCUAAAAGAAAGGCUGGAUCAGGAGGCGCUCUCCGCUUGAUGCCUUCUCCAGCGCCAUCGCCAUGGUGACUGCCCACAAUCUGAAUUCCUCAGCAUCUUGAUGGAGGCAAGGCCGAUUAUGCAGAGUGCUGCCAUGCCUGGGUCCUUCUGGCCUUGUACCCUUC
ensembl:lincRNA